UCCUUUAUAAUGAAAAAAAUGGCAUUUACAACCUGAUCUCUCACGAUCAUGUUUAAGGUCUCUCGGACUAGAAUUGAUCUCCAUGAUAUUCAAGGUUUAGUGAUAGUUACUUCUCUGUCGAUUUGAUGAUUCUAACGUCGUUUCCCUCCUGUUAUUAGAGUAUCGAAGGUUACUCCAUAUUGAAAUAAUAAGGUGGAAGAAGAGAAAUUUUUGGCAAAUAAGAUUGAACUGCUAGACUAAUUGUGAGAUUGGUUUGGCAAGGGAGCUAACAAGCUGGGACGCUGCGUUCGUGCCCGCAGGUUCAGACAGCUCGACAAGAGGACCUUCGUGACAGGAGUUCCAGCUCAACUUUGAUGGUCAAGCUCCGCUCUUUUCGAAGUCACUUCAGAGAUUGGCAUACUAGGUGCUUCUUGAGUAUGUAUGUAGCUAUGUAUAUAUUUGCAUUACGGGUACAGGCGGGGCCCUGUCCCAACUAACAUGAGGUUUAUUUAUGUUCUUAGAGGCUCAUAGACAUGUGUCGUGGGUAUAGAUGUCAUGUGUGGCCUUGUCAGCCCUAGUAUGAAGUUGAUAUGUUCAUAGUGGCCUCGCUGGCCUUAUGUUACAUGUAGUUUUCUGUAACAGCCUUGUCGGCUUGUACAUAUAUUAUGAUAUGUUGGGACUUUUCUGCAUGCAGGCGGACUCCGCUGUGUUGUCUGUGUAUCAUACCUUCACUUGAUUCAUAAAUAGACAAGAUAGGUAUGUAUGUUGUAUGGCCAGGUGGUGUCGGUGAGUCAAGCCGGGUGCCGGUCAUGCCCCUCGGGUUUGGGGUGUGACAAAAAGCCUGUUACACCC